UACGUAGGGCGCAAGCGUUAUCCGGAAUUAUUGGGCGUAAAGAGCUCGUAGGCGGUUUGUCGCGUCUGCCGUGAAAGUCCGGGGCUCAACUCCGGAUCUGCGGUGGGUACGGGCAGACUAGAGUGAUGUAGGGGAGACUGGAAUUCCUGGUGUAGCGGUGAAAUGCGCAGAUAUCAGGAGGAACACCGAUGGCGAAGGCGGGUCUCUGGGCCGAUACUGACGCUGAGAAGCGAAAGCAUGGGGAGCGAACAGG
rnacentral:rRNA from 1 species